CGUCAGCUGAUCGAGCGGGCGGCGGCGCCGGUAUUUGCCCACUCCCGGUGCAAGGUUGCGGGCCAAGAGCCACGGCGAUGUGCCUGUACGACGACAAAACGCACUGGCCCGGUGUUUCCGGAUUCAUUGGCGCAAAUAGGGGUUGGAAUUUAGCCCCACCCCUAAUCCACAAAAGUGUCGUGAUACGUUUCAUUUUGACAGUUCAGCAGGAUGUCACACGUAUUACGCCGUGUUCAUAAUAUUAUAAUAAUGCAUUACCACACGAAGUCGACGAUCAUUUUUUAAUUCGUUAACGCCAAAUGCGAAUUAACAAUCAAUAUAAGGGCGAUUUCAAACAAUAUACCGACCGCCGCCGCCGCCGCUACUGCGAUAGUCUUUGCAACUGCGUAUCUGUACACAGCCGCCGCUGCCACCAGAAUCGACGACGAAGACGACUUCACACACAGAUACACGCACUCACUCGUGUGUAAGUACACAAGCGUUCUGCUUGGAAUCAUCUAGCGAAAAAAACAGACGUCGGGGACAAAAAAAAAUUUAUGUAUAAAUGAUAAAAAAAAAAAUACCCAAACAAAACACACACAACCU